GACGAACGCUGGCGGCGUGCCUAAUACAUGCAAGUAGAACGCACAGUUUAUACCGUAGCUUGCUACACCAUAAACUGUGAGUUGCGAACGGGUGAGUAACGCGUAGGUAACCUGCCUGGUAGCGGGGGAUAACUAUUGGAAACGAUAGCUAAUACCGCAUAAUAUUGAUUAUUGCAUGAUAAUUGAUUGAAAGAUGCUAUUGCAUCACUACCAGAUGGACCUGCGUUGUAUUAGCUAGUAGGUGAGGUAACGGCUCACCUAGGCGACGAUACAUAGCCGACCUGAGAGGGUGAUCGGCCACACUGGGACUGAGACACGGCCCAGACUCCUACGGGAGGCAGCAGUAGGGAAUCUUCGGCAAUGGACGAAAGUCUGACCGAGCAACGCCGCGUGAGUGAAGAAGGUUUUCGGAUCGUAAAGCUCUGUUGUAAGAGAAGAACGGGUGUGAGAGUGGAAAGUUCACACUGGGACGGUAUCUUCCAGAAAGGGACGGCUAACUACGUG
rnacentral:rRNA from 1 species